GAGAAUAUCAAUUUUUUAGCUUAUAUAUGGUCGUGAUAAGGAUGACCGUUUCUACCCGGCACCGUAAAGGCUGGACUAUAAGUGGAAAAGCGUGUUCG
rnacentral:ncRNA from 2 species